UCGUUCAAAGGCACUUCGUGAUCAAAGGCACCGCCAUCAAACGGCUCGGCUUUCAUCUCACCGCACGAAGUGCAAAUUAUGUUAUAAAGACAGUGAGUAGCUCGCCCGCCAACCGGUGUACCCACUUCUAAUUAAUUCAACCCGUCCGCUGUUGGUUGGUGCGUACGUGGUUGUUGCCUUUCUCGUCUUGUCAAGCUGACAGCCGCCAGCGGAGGACGGGGCGAGGGCGCGCGGAGCAGGGCCACGGUCGCGGGCGGACGAUCAAGAAUCAAGAGCCGCGUGCGUCGACCCACGCCAAGCUUUGAUCUUGCCGCUAUCGCUCGCCGUCUGAGCAGGCUGCGAGUGCCGCCGAUGCUUCGGAGAUCCCAGUUUCCACUAUCCGGUGUUGCCUACAUCACUAGCGGGGAGUCGACAAGUUUGUCGAGAUUUUGAAACAUAAUGUAAAUUAGGCAGCCGGCGCGCGGCGACCGGCGACACAACAAAGGUGCCGACUCAGGCUCUCGCACCCAAGCCUUUUAUUUGCUACGGUUUAAUUUAACUUUUAUGUUACAUAUACCUGGAUUUAUAAUUCUAUCAAUAGUAAUCAAAUUGACCGACUCAAUGGCUAAAGGACGUAUACCCAGGCCAGAAUCAGGAUACAGGAAAAUAAACAAGUAAUAAAUAAUUGUCAGUCGUCUACAGUCAGUAAUGACAGCUAAUAUACAUAAAAAUGUCAUUCAAUGAUUAGCUGACAGUCAAGGCUCAACCAUAUUUAUUAAAAAGUCAAAAACUGAAAGAGGCAUAUGGUCGGUCUGUUUUA